GUUCUCUGAAAUUAAGGACGCAGCAAACUCGGAACAUUCAUAAAUGAGCAGUGGAAGAUAUGGAAGACCACAAAGGCGUCUGUUCAACAGAUAUUUUUUGCAGUGUGGACAGUGCACUUCUUGCAGGGUGGUGAGGAGUUAAGUUAACGUUAGCGGUCAGUCCCGAGCAGCAGCAGCAGCAGGAGUCACCGACAUCAGCAGCUGAUCACUGACGAUCACUCCUGCUGAUCAUCCCAGGUCUCACUGUGUAAGGAGAACCUGAACCUGAGAUCCUGUGUGCGACCAAAUGGGUGCUUUUUAUGGAGACCUGACUUCACCACCACCUUGGCUGCCAUCUUCACAUCUUGCUAUACGUUCACAGUUGAAUCAGGAGGAAACAAUGACAUCGCUGCAGUCUGUUCAAAAGUAGCUGUCAUCCAAUUUGCUGAAGAACACAAAGCAGCAGUGGAGGAUCAAAGUGAAAUCACCCGGCGGCUCCAGACCUGCAAGGAUCCAAAGCGUUUUGGCCCAGUGGACUUGUAAUGCAAAGUGGGCUGAGGUGGGCUGUUGGACUCUUUGCAGACAAGUACGCAUCCACAAACACAAUUUUAAAGACUCUAUGGACACCUGAGAACCUGGUGACAUCUCCCAUAGUUUAAUAUCCAUGUUUAGAUUACCUAAGUGUGUUUUGUUUCAAGGAAAUAACAGUGUCUAGUGUCAGUGUCUAUUAUAU